UACCAGCACCCCGAGUGGUCGGGACGAUUAUUGGGCCUAAAGCAUCCGUAGCCGGUUCUACAAGUCUUCCGUUAAAUCCACCUGCUUAACAGAUGGGCUGCGGAGGAUACUAUGGAGCUAGGAGGCGGGAGAGGCAAGCGGUACUUAGUGGGUAGGGGUAAAAUCCGUUGAUCCAUUGAAGACCACCAGUGGCGAAGGCG
rnacentral:rRNA from 1 species